CCUUUGGAUGGGGGCAGUUACUUUCUUUAAUUAGGCGCCCCGACGCCAUUUUCGGAGAUUCGGCGGGCAGCAUCUGGUCUGUGCGGGCCACGCGUCGCGAUCCGCGAGAGACAAUAUAUGUUGUUCGUCCAAGACUCGACACUAUGUCAUGUAGUCACAAACGUCAAGACAUAAAGGGCCUCAAUCUUCUUAUUUUUAAAUUUUGCUGCCCGUAAUAGUUUUUUGUUAAUCUAAAUUAUUUCUUCUCUCAUCAUGACUACCGCGAACUUCCGUGUCGGGAGCUGCCUUCUCUGCUCCUGGAGCCAGCCUCAUGACUUCACCCCGCUGUUUUGGGCGGGGUGCAAGUUUAGCUGCAAAACUAGCUGCAAGAUUAGGUGCAAGAAUAAUGUGCAAGAUUAGCUUCAAGACCCCAAAUUAGAAUGGAACUUCACUGCCAAAUUAGCAGUCCGUGAUUGGGCUCAUGCAGUCAGAAGUUUUCUCCCUUCUCCGGUCGAGAUACAACUUUCUACAUAAAAUUAUUUCUUCUGGACUUUAAUCUACCGAAACCUCCGGUGCCAGAACACAGGAUAUAAUUAAAUUUCAUUUGAAAAGAAAAUUAAAAACAAAAUGUAAUUGUUUCUUUCUUUUGAGCCUGCGUGCUCACUUAAAACCAGAGUUAAGUUCAAGAGGUAUGAUGUUUUUACCUUUAUAUGUAUUUUAUUGCCCCGUG